GCGGGCGUGGUGUACGGUACACAUCCGCUCCCAUUUAGAGUUCAAUACAGUCCACGACGCUUCAGUGGCAGACCCGGGUUCGACUCCUGGCGCCCGCU